rnacentral:rRNA from 1 species
AUUGAACGCUGGCGGUAUGCUUAACACAUGCAAGUCGAACGGUAGCAGGCCUUCGGGCGCUGACGAGUGGCGGACGGGUGAGUAACGCGUAGGAAUCUGCCUCAUAGUGGGGGACAACGUGGGGAAACUCACGCUAAUACCGCAUACGCCCUACGGGGGAAAGCGGGGGAUCUUCGGACCUCGCGCUAUGAGAUGAGCCUGCGUUAGAUUAGCUAGUUGGUAGGGUAAAGGCCUACCAAGGCGACGAUCUAUAGCUGGUCUGAGAGGACGAUCAGCCACACUGGGACUGAGACACGGCCCAGACUCCUACGGGAGGCAGCAGUGGGGAAUAUUGGACAAUGGGCGCAAGCCUGAUCCAGCCAUUCCGCGUGAGUGAAGAAGGCC